UACGGGGGGGGGCAAGCGUUGUUCGGAAUCACUGGGCGUAAAGGGCGCGUAGGCGGCUCGGUAAGUAGGGGGGUGAAAAUCCUGCGGCUUAACCGCAGGGCUGCCUUCUAAACUGUCGAGCUUGAGCACGGUAGAGGCAGAUGGAAUUCCCGGUGUAGCGGUGGAAUGCGUAGAGAUCGGGAAGAACAUCAGUGGCGAAGGCGGUCUGCUGGGCCGUUGCUGACGCUGAGGCGCGACAGCGUGGGGGAGCAAACAGG
rnacentral:rRNA from 1 species